AUUGAACGCUGGCGGCAUGCUUUACACAUGCAAGUCGAACGGUAACAGGGUGCUUGCACCGCUGACGAGUGGCGAACGGGUGAGUAAUGCGUCGGAACGUGCCGAGUAGUGGGGGAUAACGCAGCGAAAGUUGUGCUAAUACCGCAUACGUACUGAGGUAGAAAGUGGGGGACCUUCGGGCCUCACGCUAUUCGAGCGGCCGACGUCUGAUUAGCUAGUAGGUGAGGUAAAGGCUCACCUAGGCGACGAUCAGUAGCGGGUCUGGGAGGAUGAUCCGCCACACUGGGACUGAGACACGGCCCAGAAUCCUACGGGAGGCAGCAGUGGGGAAUUUUGGACAAUGGGCGAAAGCCUGAUCCAGCCAUGCGGCGUGUCUGAAGAAGGCAUUCGGGUUGUAAAGGACUUUUGUCAGGGAGGAAAUCCCUAGUGCUAAUAACACUGGGGGAUGACAGUACCUGAAGAAUAAGCACCGGCUAACUACGUGCCAGCAGCCGCCGUAA
rnacentral:rRNA from 1 species